UACGGGGGGGGGCAAGCGUUGUUCGGAAUUACUGGGCGUAAAGCGUGCGCAGGCGGUCUUGCAAGACAGAUGUGAAAUCCCCGGGCUUAACCUGGGAACUGCAUUUGUGACUGCAAGGCUGGAGUGCGGCAGAGGGGGAUGGAAUUCCGCGUGUAGCAGUGAAAUGCGUAGAUAUGCGGAGGAACACCGAUGGCGAAGGCAAUCCCCUGGGCCUGCACUGACGCUCAUGCACGAAAGCGUGGGGAGCAAACAGG
rnacentral:rRNA from 1 species